UUCUUUCUUUCGUCCGCAAAGGACACCCGGUCUCCUUCCUCUUCUUCUUUGAUACAACCCUGUCUUCUUUCUCUUUUUAGUCCAAUCUUCCACUUUUCAAUCCUUUUUGUGAUACAAAUAAAUACAUCUAUUCCAUCGAACAAGCCCUCCCAAGGAGAGGACCAGCGUCGUCCCCGGCCUCUGGCGACCGGCCGGCGAGCCCAACGCCGGAGCACCACCAACACCCGCAGCCCCCAGCGCCCAGCCUUCCUACACGCUCAAGAGCAGGAGACGAACGCCCGCUCGGGAGGAGAACCCGAGUGCGCCCGCGCCACCCUGAGCCGCCACCGGGGGAAGCUCCCGCCGCUCGCCGGCGACGUGCAGGAUCCCGCGACCCCAACGCCGCCGCUCUGCCUGCCUCCUCUCUCUCUAUUUCUUCCUUCCCUUCUUCUCUGGUUCUCUCUCUCAUAUUUCUCUCUCUUCACUGUCCCGUAGCAGGAACAGCCGCUGGCGCUCGUCCCCGACCAACUCCGGUGCCCUGGCCUCACCGCCAAAGCUGGGAGCCAUCCCCACCGGCCGGAUCUGAUGCGCAGCCACCUCGCUGUUGCGCCGCCAUCACCCCUGCAACGGAUCAUCCCGCCCUCCACCUCUUUUUCGUCGGGGAGACGACGAACUCGUCCUCGAGCGUUGACCGCGCGCCCGCGUUCGUGGGCUGCAUCCACGGGCGAUCGAUCACCGCCUCAUGUACGCCGCCGGGCGUCGGACUAAUUUUCAUAAGCUUCAUUCAUAUGUGACAUCAGGAAGCUUCAAAAAACAGGAGAAGUGCAAGAAAACGUCGCCCCAAACAAAUCGCAACUUGCCAGCCUCCGCAACAGCCGUCAGAACCAUGGCUCACAGACGCCUGCUCCGCGGAUCGGCGGAUCCUUCCCUGGUGCCAUGCUUCAGCGGCUUGUGCUGCUCGGUAUCCCUCGUCCAAAUAAUCGGUAUGUCUGUUCAAAAAAAAAAUCGGUAUGUGUCCUUCCUGCGGCUACACCUUCAGGAUUUUCACCGCCACCAUGCUUCGGAGGCUUGCUGUUGUUCUUGUCCUCUUUGCUGCUGUGCGCAAGCGCACCUACGCAUAUAUGGUUCUGGCCCAGGGAGCACAACUCUCUAACUCUGGCCCUUCUGUCGUUGAUCUAGGUAUGCACCCCCGAUGCUAUUACAGCUAAUCUCUGAUAAAGAAGUUUUUGGUCCUGAUGCAACUCAUUGACGAACGCAAUUAGGCUUGUAGACUGGCUUCCAAUCUCCAUUGAUUCUCAUUCAUGCACUGACUGCUAUUCUAAACAAUUAUUAUUAGAUAUUAAUAUUAAUGGAGCAUCAAUGUUUUUUGAAAAAAAUUAAUAAGCAGAUAACUCAAGGCUUUCAUUUUUUAUGUAGAUAAGCAGCAGGAGUAUUUCAUAGAUCACGGACCCCAUGUAGUCUGACGUUCAAGGAGGGAAUCUGGCUCAGGAUGCCUGUGUCCAUAUUGUACUUUUGAUAUCUGACUUUCAUAUUGUACUAUGAUGAUCGUGGAUCUUGUGUGCAUAUUGUACUUUUGAUGAGCUACACUUUUAAGGAAUCUGAUUUCAGGAGUCUGAUGGUCAGGUAAGUGUUAAUGUGUUAUUUAGUGUUAGUUUAGUGCAGCUGCUCCCCUGAGGCCCUGACUGGCUUCUUAGCUCCCUCUCCACUUACCUGUCAGCUGGGCGUGUUGAUUCGAUCUGUUGAUCUGGAAAAAUUGACACACUAGGACGUACACAAAAACUUUAAGGUUAGUUCGUACAUGAUUGAAUCUUCUCCGUGCAAAAACUGACAAUACACAAAUUGUAGCAAAAUCAAUGAGGAGCUGAAUCUGCAGUCUUCCCUUACCGCCCAGUAGUUCCCAAUUUAUUUUUGGAUUUUUAUUGUUAUUUGGUAAGCAUAGCACCUGAUUUACAGUGAAGUGCAUCUAUCAAUUUAAUUGUUUGACCGUUAAUACACAGUACAUCCGUGUCCAUGUCGUCAACGUGUUGCUCGCCGACCGUACUGUUCUCGAGAUCCGCCUUGAAGACGGUGGAUCGGGCCUUCAGCACACAUCGUUCGUUAGCAUCUCCGCCUGAUGCUUCUAUAGGAAGAGAGACCCCCAUACUUAUAUUUUUAAUCCACAUGGAUAGUACAAUUUUUUUUAAUCCACAUGGAUAGUUCUGUAGAAAAAUUGUUAUUUUGUAGUCUUCUUAACUUGGCUAAUGAAUAUCCACUCUUCAUAUGACAAGAAGUGCAUGAACUUGGCUAAUGUUUAGGGGCAUAAGCAUGAUCAUGUCAAAAGUGCAUACAAGCAUCAUGUAAUUAUGUUCUUACAGAGAUAACAUUCAGUUUAGUAAUCUCUCUUGGCUGAGGGAUUUGACUACCCUUCAUCAGAGCGUGUUAGAGCUAUGGAUACUGAACUCGCAAGAUUCCUUUUUUGUAUGUCCGCAGGGAAGUGUUGACUACUUGAACAUGCUGGAAAGUGUUGACUACUUGGAGUAACUUGCAAGUAACAGAUGUUUUGACAACAAUAACUGCUACCAAUGAGGACCACUGGCAAGAUAUAGCACAACAACCUGGUCCCUGUUCCGUAAAGGUUGGCCUGAUCCCUGUUGAAAUCAAUUUGGCGUGGUACAUUAGUUGUAUUGUUCACCCUGCAUGUUUUUUUUCACUUUCCUAAAGUAUGUUUGAGUAUAGCUUAUGGUUUAUUUAUAAGCUUGUGAGUUAAUUAAAGCUCACUUGGUGGUUCUAACUAAUUAUACUAAAAUAUGACCAUGACCGAAAGAUAGAUGGAGGUUCAGAUGCAGAGUGAAAGCCUGCACCAACAAGUUGUAGUUGUAUAUGGAACCUGGCGACUUGAUGGUGAGCACUAACCUUCACUCCGCAAGAAUCCUUUUUGACACUUACUCUGUAGAAAAUACCUUUCAGUUUAAUAUAUUCUGCUAUUGUGGUUAAUAGAUCAAUGAACAAUCAUUUGAAUUGUGCUCCAUGAUAUUCAAGCUACUAUUGUAAGAAAUUGAAAGAUGUUCAUGUUUUGCCGCCCUCGUGUUUGUCUUGACACGCUGGCGCUACUGUUAGUUGCUUUCCACGCAAAUAAGAACAUAAUACAUCAACACUCUUCUUAGUGUUGGUGUUGAAAUACAGGACUUUGAUGUGGGAUGUAGCCAUGCUUAUUGGACUAGGCAUCUAAGAAUUUUUUUCCCGUUGCAACGCACGGGUAUUUUUGCUAUCUUUCCCUAAUAAUAAAGCACGGAUUGACUUUGUCGGGUUCACCGUCACAAUACGCUUCUUCCCGUGAUUUUACGCUUUCAGUUUGAAUUUAAAACAUAUUCGAGGUGGUACUAAAUUUUCGCUCUAUCUAUUUCGCCGCGUCUGAUUUUUUUCCGUAAGUGGCUGAUUCGCUGAAAAAAUAUGGUUGACGCCGCUGGGAUUUGAUCCAUGGUCUUGCCAUGUAUAGAUUGCAGCGCAGCAGACCACUAAGGCUAGGCUCCUAAGCUUGCUAAUUUGGGCGUCUGGAACCUUAAGAAUAAAGGACAGGCGUACUCGGGCCGAGAUCAACAGGCACGGUCGUGAUGGGCAUGUACGAGUGCGGCGGCCCACUGGACGGACAAGGGACCAGGCUGGAAGUUGUUUUUCAUAUUUGUUUACUUGUCAAAUAGUCCCACCUUGCUAUUUUACAUUAAUUUUUACCAGUUUAUAUACAAUUUUUAGGUUGUCAGGCAUCAAGAAGCUGCUUUGGAAAUUAAGCAAAGAAAUAAAGAAAGGAAAUAGACAUUCUUUGCAUGAGAAAUAAAGAAGGAAGAUGGUAAUUAUGUGGAGCCGGCAAGAAAGGUAAUAUGUAUUGAAUAAGAAAUAAAGAAGGAAGAAAAUCGAUGGUAAUUAUGUGGGUGCCAUAUUAAUCGCAUGAGUAAUUAGCAGGCCUAGCAAAAAAGGAAAAAAUAAUUGCAUGAAAAAUAAAGAAGGAAGGAGAAAGAGAGAGGAAGGAAAUGGACGGUAAUUAUGUGGGCAUCAUGAUAUAAGGAAAGAAAGAGAAAGAAAAACUAAUUAACAGGAGGUGCGGGAAUCAAUGGCAGGUUGCCAUGCCAUCUUAUGAGUAAAAAUGAUGUGGCAUUUUUUAAUCCUCACUAAAUUCAUGUCAUUUUUUUCUUCCAUUAUGUUUUCCUUGCUCUUAUAAUCUUUACUAAAUUUGCGCCAAAUUUGUAGCACAUUGAACAUUAUGUUUGCACAUACAAUCCUCACUAAAUUUAUGUCAAAUGUUUCAACCGUUCUAACCCACAGGCAUAUAUAGUAUUUUUAAUAUAUAAAUGGAGGUAUAAUAUUAUUGGUCCUCCCAUUUCGUAUGUCCAUGGUGUUUCCUCAUAUUGAGCUAGGCUAUUCUACUAAUCGUCUGUCUUGGGCCACUUGGCCUCUGCCACGUUCGCCCGCGUAAUGUUCCACCAGUAAAAAGAACCGGUGCCCUCCCAACAUGUCCGUGCGACCUGGCCCAACAAAUCAAACCCACCACCCCUUUUAGGAGAUGAGGCAAAAAAUAGUUGACCGUUACUGGAAUAAAACUCACAACCUCCAGUGUGUUUUGGCGUUGAUCGUGUUACCCUACAGAAAAGUGUUGAUCAUUUUAAAAUAAAAUUAAAUUUAGUUUUUGUUUGGGUCCUUCACGGAUUGGUACUAAACUAAUAUGAUGUAAAACCAGAUAACAUAAACACAAGGCACAAGUAUUUCAUUGUGUAGAUGUGGGUCAUGUGGCCGGGAUCUCAAACGCGAGCGUUCGCUGGUCUGUCCAUGCAGGUGAUGCAAUUCUUUAUUGGUUCCAAGCUUACGUGGAAUGUUCACCGUGUAGUGGACAUCGUUACCGACAAUGAUGACAAAGAAAAGAAGUGGUAACAGGGAUGGGGGCGCUAGGGGUGAUAAUUUAUUUCUCCCGUUGCACUUUUGCUAGUCUUAAUAAAGCACGGAUUGACUUUGUCGGAUUCACCGUCACAAUGCGCUUUCUUUGAAUUUACGCUUUUAGUUUAAAUUUAAAAUAUAUAUCCGAGGUGGUACUAAUCUAUCGCGGGAGCCAACGAUCGAUCGCUAGCUCGCCACGCAGGAUUGACUGCCAGAUGGGCCUUUGCUACUAGAUGGGCCGGCCAGACUGUGUCCAACUUUACGUUUACCUUGUGUCCAUGCCCAAAAUAUGCCGCCGGCCCCGACUCCUCCAACGCUCGCCGCCAUGGCCGAGGAUACGGUACACGAGCACGGAGGCGGAUGGGAUAGUGUGGUAAUUGGCGCCUCCCAGCAGCAGAGAGCGCGAGAGAUUUAGUAGCUGACCAUCACGCCAAGGGAUGCAAGCAACAACGUCACCCAAGUGCCCAUGACGGCGAGUGGGAUGAGAAAGGGGCUACAAAAGCGUCGGAGUUGGAGGCGCGGUGGCUGGGAAAAGAGCCAGCGGGAGACGGAGAGGCUCACCGGAGGACACGCGCGGCGGCGCGGUCGCGUGUGAGGCGGCCGGCUACAGGAGCGUGCAGGCGGCGCUCGGGCACUGGCGACGCCAUGGUCUUCUGGCGAGGCGGGCGAGCACGUACAUGAAGGCCGCGGGGGGCACGCUGCCUGGGCGAGAGGGGAGGCGCGAAGGAGGCGGUCGUCGCCGGUGGCGGGGCCGGAUGCGUCAGAUGCGCGCGCUUGCCUGCAGUCAACGCAGACAGACAUAGCGGCCAUCCAUGGCAGCGAGCGGCUCCGGGGGCGGCGACGGGGUUGGGUGGUUCAAGCGGCCGCUUCUGCAGCUACAUGGGAGACGUCCAGGAGUGAUUUAGUAGGAUGUCGACCCUAAACUAUGGAAAGCAAGCAUCCAAUGGAGAAGUGUUGUUCUGAAAAAUGGGUUCAUAACUUUUCAUAUGCUAAACUGAAACCAUGCAUAUUUGAAUAGCAGGAUUAGAGGGGUUUUUUAUUCAGAAUCUAGAGUUUGUCCGGCAUUGCAUCAUCAAGUAAAAGAUUGUAGUUUGUAUUCCUCAUGUCUGCUGCACUUGCAGGGUCAGAGUUGGUUGCCAUCCCCUGGACAGGGCGCUCUAGGGCGUGUUGGCGUGCUUGAGUAGACGAAACACUGAUGUUAGCUGCAAGGUGGAGAAGGAAUACCCCAUGGAUGGAUUUUGGUAGCUCUGAUGACAACAGUUUCAACUUAGUAAGUCAUAUGCUGAUAUUCAUAUGACUGUGAUCUCGGAAAUAAAAGUUCAUAGGAAAGUAACAGAAACCUUCACUGAACAUAGAGUUGUGUUGUAUCUGUACCGAGAAAAGUUUGUAGAGUAUGAAAAUAUGUUUCGAGACGAAACAAAUUAUGAUUAUUAGUCAUAGCAGUUGUAGGAACAGAUGAAAAUUGUAUUGCCGGUUUUAGCAGGUGUGCUGGUGCUCACAUGCUUAUCCAUUGUGAUAUGGGUUUGCAGGUCCAAAGGCACAGCAUACUAUGCUCAUGCAUAUGUGACAUAAACCAAUUCUACAUUAUGCAGCUCACAAACACUACAAAAUUACUAGGGCUAGGAGAUUUGUGCACUUAUGAAGGUUUUUGGACACGAAGGUUUUGAAUUUUCACUAUUAAGCUUCAAAGAUGUUACAUCUAUUAACCUGUACUCAUAUUAGGCCAACGUUGUCCAAUAUUGCUGGGGGAUUUUCCCUUUUUUUACAAAUCAUAAUCAGUCUGUAACCUGGGCGUGUACGAAAGUUGUCUGCACUUUUUUCUGUUUAAUCUGGGCGUCCAAUCUUUGUAAGCUGGGCUUUACCUGUACUUUAUCAUACGGAAACCAAUUAAAUGAAAACUGUUUGAUUCAAUGUUUGCCAGUCUGUGUUUAAUUCUCUGUUUGCUCCCUGUUUGAUUCAAAUCCAUGAACAAGUAAGUUCUUUUUCUCCCUGUUUGAUUCAAGUCUGAAAUAUUCAUAGAUGCUACACUUCAGUCAGUAAAUGAACAAAAAACUAGGACUGAACUUUUAGUCAGUUUUGUGUCAACGAGUAAAUCUGUGUGCUCGAGAUUACAAUUACUUUGAAUAGAGAAAUUAAGAAAAAUAUGUGGAAUCAUCACCACCCCUUAAUUGAUCUGGUGGCGGGAUGUAGAAAUUCAAUCUACUUGGUGGAGACGUACUGGCAUGUGAUGUCGUCCAACUAAUAGCCGUUAUAUGCCUUCCAUUGUGUUUUAAUUUUUUCUCUUGCAUUGCCUGGACUACCUGAUAGAAGCUCCUAUCAGCUAAUAUUACAACCAGAGCGGCAGACAUGUCCAUGUUUGGUGCUGCCAGCAGCAAGCAAUACAGGGUAGGUUUUGUAAGUGCUAACAUUGUAAAUUAAUAGGAUUUAUCAUUUUUUUUGUAUUAAGGAGUUCUAUUCUUUUGCUUCAUACAAAGAUUAUUGUACUAUUAAUUAGUCUAUAGUGGAAAAGUCAAAGAGUAUCAUACUCAGGGUCAGUUAAGUAGUUGGAAUAUUUGUAACCAUGCACUAACCUGAAAGUUAGGCAUACUAAUUAAGCUUUAUUGGUUUUUAAGGCAGUUCAAAGGGAUAUCUUCCUAGGUAGUCAAAUGUACAAUGCACAAUAUAAAAAUGUAGUUAUGUUUCUCAUCUCCUCCCAAUUGCACAAUCAUUCUUUGUUAUUAAUUUCACCACAACAGAAUUAUUGUAAUAGUUUGCAUCUUCAUGAUUUUAUAUAUUUACUUGUGUGGUUACUCUGGUUAACAAAGUAAUUUGCUAGAUGCGCUUAGAAAUAUUACUGUUAUAUAUGGUGUGUGACUUGCAUGGUUUCAUUUGGUACAUUUUCAUUACUACUAAACUUAGACAUAUGUACAUGUUCAUUGAGGUCGAAUGGUCAUUAUCGAAUUUGAAAUUAUCAAAUAUGCGGAAGGUAUGUUUCAACCGCUGAGGUGUAUCCCUAGCAGGAUCUUCCUAGGUAGUCAAAUGUACAAUGUAUACAAAAUUGAAGGGCGAAAUUAAAGGAAAGUGGCAUCAACCACAAACCUCGGUAAGAUCGGAAGGUGAAGAUUUUGAUGGAGAAACGAAAGAGAGGGGCCGAAAUUAAAGGACUAUGGCAUGUUAAACCACAAACCUCGAUAAGAUUGGAAGGAGAAGAUGGAAGAUGAAAGUGGCAACACGAAUGAGUCGCUUGACGCAUAAGAGGAUUUUGUUCUCCCGUUGCAACGCACGGCCUUUUUUGCUAGUCUUUCCCUAAUAAUAAAGCACGGAUUGACUUUGUCGGGUUCACCGUCACAAUACGCUUUCUUCUCGUGUCAGAAUACGCUUUUACAAUUUGUCCAGGGUUCACCCUCACAAUAUGCUUUCUUCUCGUGUCAGAAUACGCUUUUAUAAUUUGUAUGGACAAAAUCCUAAUAUAAACGAGGUGGUACUAAUAUAAAUAUAAACACGAUUCAACGAGCCCUGUCUCACGCACGAUAACUCCAGACGCCCUCCGCCGCCACGCCCCCAUCCCUCCAACUCCGCUGCGCACGGGAGCAGGGGGAACCUGCGACGGCGGUGGCAUGAUCUCCGGCAAGCGGCGGGUUCGAGCGGUGGGGCCGGGAUCUGGUGGCGGCGGCGAGCUCCUAUAGAUCGGCGGCCUGUCCUCUCCUCUGCGUACGCACAAGGCACAAUAGCACGUGGUCCUCUCCCUACACGGCACGGCACCGCCGCCACGCGCGGCCAGUCUUCCUCUCCAGCUACCCUCGAGCAGCGCCGUCGUUGCCCUGUUCUUCUUCGCCUCCUCACCCGCCCCAACUCCUCACCCCCAGCCCUCUCCACCUCGAGGCGGACGUCUCUGAUUUGGAUAGGAGUCGAUGGCGUGUUCACGAUGGAAUACUGCUCCAACACGUAGCUAUGGGUCCAACCCGAAUAUCAGAUCAAUCUCCCAGCCAUAAGAAGAAACCCUAGAGUGGAAGCACAAGUAAAUCGCAUUGCAAGUUUGUAAGACGAGAUUGUUGUGCGGGAACUGUCCAAUCUCGCCUCCACCUACUUCGCCGGAAGACCAUCUGCAAUCCGACGUUGCUCUACACAUCGCCGGAACUCCGAGUGCCGGUUCUCCAUGAGGUAUUGCAUACUGAAGACACAAGGAGAAUUGGAAUCAUGCUAUUUGUUUUUCUAGAAACCUACAGUUAAUGAAGCAAACAUAAACUGAACCUUAGUGUGCUACUUCCUGAUCUUCAGCUAAUUUUUCAUUGAUUGAUUCAUUGUUGUGUUUAGUUAGUCUAUCCACAAGCUAGAGGGACUAGGUUAAUUAAGAACAAUGUCUAAGGUAAUGAUUCACUAUGUACAGGUUGCCACCAUGUCAUAUUUGGUUGGCUUAGAGUGACAAGUAUUUCAAGGGUAAUCAAGUUGAUAAGCACCAGCUUAAAUUCAACCAAAAAUUUUAUGGCGUGAUCUCAAAUCUGUGAGCACACGAACCACGGAACUUCACCCAGCCAUUCUGGAUUUUUUAAUUGAGAGACAACUAAUUUCUCAUUGUUUGAUUCAUCAUGCUUACUCGCUCUGUCCUAGAGAGACUAACAUUGUUCUCCGAUCUGGUUGAUUCACUUCAGUUAAAUUUUCCAGUAGCUUCAGCUCUGUACAUUGGCAUGAAAAGGUGUUUGCCGUUUAGACGAAUUAACUGUUGGAUACUCCAUGAAAGAGGUAGGCCCAUCGCAUGAUUAGGAAGAAUAAGGUGUAUGCUAUACUUGAACAGAUUCCGUUAAGGAGACCAUUUAGCAUGGUCUGCUGGUUAUAGCCUUCUGUCUUGAACUGUAGGCAGAAGUGAAUUUGCUGCUUUGUGCACUCAGGAAGCUGAUUUCGUGUCGUGAACUCUACAGUUGCAUAUAUUUAGUCCCUCUACACAAGCAGGCACAAACGUCCUUUUGAUUUAUUUAUUUUUGAAUUAGGCCGCAUAAGUAGGCAGCAGUUACAAUCAAUGGUGAUGCAGAUUGAAGUACAGGCAAGAUUGCACCUUUAGUAACAUCAGUAUCAACUAUCAAGUAUGUUUAAUCUCAUUUAUCCGUAAGCUUAAUAUGUUGUAUACUUGUAUGGUGAUGCAGAGUUGAAGUACACUGCAAUCUGCACUGGGAUGUCCGUAAGCUUAAUCUCAUUUAUCCAUUGAAGGAGGUCGUCCUUGUGAUCACUGGAAACAUGUUUGUGAUUGAGGCACACAGCAAAAUGGCUCACACUCACCACCAUUACUCGAAGGACCAUCUCCAUAUACGAGUUGCUUUACCUGAAAGCAGAUUUCUGAAGAUAUAUAUUUUUUCGUAUUUGUUUUAUAUUUUUGGACAACUGGUUGUUUAUAUUGGUGGAGAUCCAGUGCUUUACAGAGCCCGCAUAUAAAGGUAAUGUGUAUUGCUAUUUUUCUUACUUAGUAGCAUUAGAAUCUCCCCAUCUCUUUAUACGGAGGUGAUGGCGAAGGAGGAAGAGUUGUGUCAGGCCCAGCUCAAGCUAGAUGAAGAAGAGGAGGCCAGAAAGAGAGAAUCAGCAAGGCAGAAGCCUUUUGAUCUCAAGGCACGAUUCUGCGGGUUGGUGAGCUACUAACAAAGACACACCUCUAUUCUGAAUUUCUACUUGAAAAAGAUGGACCAUCAGCUACGGAAUAUGUUCGCUGUUGACAUUGGUGGUGGUGUCUUUUGGUUCAACAUGAAGUUGUUUAAGUGAAAAAUGCAGUGGAACAUGUGGAACAAAGGACGUGGUAUGGAAAGGAAAGCAAAGCAAAGCCUAAACAGUACAAUGAUGCAGGUUCAGAUUUCAUAUGUUAUCUUCCCUGCCUCAGGAAUAUGAAAUGGUUGUCUUCUAGAUUAUGAACGUGUCUUUAUUUGUCAUGUAUUGUCGACGCACUGUGUAGUCUGUACUAAUUCUACUGAGACUGCUUGAUCUCUUAUCAUUCACACUUCAGAAUUUUCUAAUUAUCUUAUUAUUAGUAGUAUCAUCCUUCCAACGUACUGAUUCACAAAUCUUAGCUAAUUAGGAAGGAACUACAUGUUUAUCCAUUCUUUUUCAGAUAUGGUGCUCUUGUAGGCAAAGUAGAUGCAUAAUUCUUUUGGAAGGAAGGGCAGGCACACUAGAUAAUGAUGUAUUAUGUUUCUGGCCCAGAACAGGCAGCCCCCAUCAUCCACAACCUUGAUUCCACAAUAUACCCCGCUGAUAUGAUCUAGAGGAGCGAGGAGCUGGGCAAGGAGUCACUGCCGGUUCACAUGACCAAGAAGGGGUACGCGAUUUUGGGAAGAGAUGCAGGAAGACUGGAAGAAGAUUGACUUCAGUCGCUUCGGCAUCGCCGGCAGCGCCGACGGGAUCCUGCUUUAUUCCGAAGAACUGAUUUUAUAUGAUUCUGAACCUAGCCGUCCAACAUCAUAUCUGUCCAGCUAUACAAGCUUGUAUGCAGCCAAGUUAGUUGCUUUAUUAUGGACUCAACGAGGAAGAGCACUACCACUUUUUCAGAAUUUGAUUUUGUGAACCUUCAUGUUGCACUAUCACAUAUUGCACAUGAGUUGAUUCAGGUUUCCAGAGUUCAGACCACAACAAUCAAUCGGUCUGAAGGUGCUCCUGUUUUAUAUCAGAUCGUGAGGAAUGGGGACCCUUUUCGGAUAUUUGACUACUAUAUUUGCAUGCCGGAGUUCGCCGCCGUCUGCUGUGCUGUGAUUUUUGGGUAUGAUGCUAGAUUACGUGGUUGCAUAGUUCCUUCUUUUUCUUCUUCAAAUUCAAUAUUCUUGGGUCAUGGUGUGCUCAUGCUGAUUUGCAGCCCGGAUGAUAGUCCGUGGGAGGGAGGUUAGUUGAUCUAGCUGUAUUUAGUAGCUAUUUCAAUAAUGUUAUAGAAUCUUUGCUAAACACCUUUGGUGUUGAUUGUUCUUGAACUGAAGAAAUUUACAAUGUAGACUUGGCAUAAUUCACUUCCUAGAUGAAAAAAGAAGUUGCAUGUCCUUUAGUCAGCAAAUCAAGUUGAGCGAUGCAGCAUGUUGCGAAAAAGUCGCAGGUAUGUCCUGCACUGCACGCAUGUGAGGCGAAUGGUUUUUCUUGAUGCCAUUGUCGUCCAGUACAUGGUGUUUAUCAGUACUACUCCCUCCGUAAACUAAUAUAAGAGCGUUUAGAAUACUAAAAUAGUUAUCUAAACGCUCUUAUAUUAGUUUACAGAGGGAGUACUAUUUUGUUCUUGUCUUAAUUGAGUCUCAUGCAAACUGAUAAGCGGAUGGUAAACACCUCUCUCUAUAUUGAAAUAUGUGUUGAUUGAUUUAUACAUGGUUUUUGAUUUUAUCAUAUGAAUAGCUUUAAGAAUUUGGCAACAAGUCCAGUGGAAUCUCAUUUCUUUAAGGACACCAGCGUCUAAAUGCACAGUUGGUUUAUUGAGUUUGUAGAGCCUAUUUCUUUCAGGCGCUGCUUGAAUUAGCCGGGAAAAAGUGUAGUUGGUAUGUUAUUUCGAAUGCAAUUUCAAGUAGUAGUACACAAUGAAUAACUUCACCAACCAAGUAACCCUGAGAUAGUUUAAAACAUUUGAAGCGGUCUUUCUUCUCAUGGUAGGACAUUAAAAGUCUAUUAUAUUGUUUCAGGAACUGUUUCAAGGAAAAGAUAAAUACUUUGAUGUCCAAAAGGCUUUAUCAGCGAACAUUAGCGUGACUUUAAUGGGACAAUAUCCAUGGUUUUGCUAAUAUUGAUGACUUCUUUUCGGAAAAUACAUGUACUCUUCAUAUAGGCAAUUUUAAAAUAUUACACAUCAUAUAUCAAUCUAAUGUAAGAUAUCGAAAUGUAUAACAACUAGAUUAUGCUAAAAGUGUGACCACCAUAACUGGUGGGGCAAAGAAAAGUGACAACAUAUAAGCAUUUGUUUCUCCCGUUGCAACGCACGGGCCCUUUUGCUAGUAAUAAUAAAGCACGGAUUGAGUUUGUCAGGUUCACCGUCAUGACUCUUUUGCGAAAAAGUCCUUCCGUUUUUUUGGAAAUCAACCCGCAGUCUAAUAAUAAGUGAUUUGCAGGAGAAUAACGAUUCGAUCGUUCGGGCCAACAGGACUGUCUUCGGCCUCAAAGGAUAGACGCACGGUAUGGAAAAAACAAACAAGGAGAGAUCGGGCAUGACUCCUCCAUAGAGCCACGAUGGAUCUCGCCUCCACCAAGUUACAUAUUACGAGGAAACAAAAUCAUCGUCACACAUCCGAUUCCUUCCUCCUCCGCACGCACGAAGCCGCCGCCGCUGCUUCUCACCUCGCCGCUAGAUCGGAAUCGAAGUCGUUGCUCAAAUCAAGAGAGAGAGAGAGAGAGAGAGAGAGAGAGAGAGAGAGAGAGAGAGAGAGAGAUCGGAUCAUAGGCGGACGAGCCGCCGGCGAGGAAUCCACGUCGGGUGGCUAUCCGUGGCCUCUCAAGCCCUCUCUUACUCCCCCCUCCUCCACCUCCCACCGCCCGGGCGCCGUCACCUCACCUUCCACAGGCCCCCUCGACCCUCGGCUAGACACCACGGCCGGGUCGCCGCCCCUCCCACCGCGAGGAAGACGACGACAGAGCAAGGCGGCGGCGCUGGGCUGCACGUCGAGCCUCCCUCAGUGGCCUCCGUCCUCCAUACCGAUGCUCCGUCCCCCGUUUCAAUCGGCUCUGCUGCAACUUCGCCUGAAGACCGGUGCUCUGCCUUGACCUGCUCUGCUUCGGUCUAGAUCGAUACAAAUAGAGGGAGCACAUUUAAAGAGUCAUCGCUGCAGAGUUUGACACCACAUUUUCUUUGGAUGAUUGUUCGCCUCUCUGAAUCUAGCUUUUUUUAACGUGACCACUUCAAUUGAAUUGCUUAUUUGCAUUACAUACAGUGACCAAAACUAAUGCUUUGAUAUUGUCGCCUCCGCCGAGUUCGCCGGAAGAACAUCCGCCGCCAGAGCGUGCUACACCUGAGCCGGAAGAACAUCUGCUGUCCGAACGUGCUACACCACAGAUGUGGAAACUAAAAGGUGUAUAUAAUGCAGAGGAGGCAAUGUUCAGUUCCUAGGUGCGUAGGUGCAGCCCUGGCCCCAAUAGCCUUGGACGGCCUGAACGGCGCGGAUGAGUGCUUCUCCCUAGGGAGGGCCAUGUCGCCAUCGGCGAGACCCGGCCUGAGCCGGCAGACUUCUGGUCUCAUUAUUUAUUUUGUGUUCAUCAAAGUUUAUUUAUUUUGCACCAUAUCGUAGUAUGAUCGUGGGACACAGGCAGAGAUGACCAUGAUGCUAGCUGAUAGCACCUCUUAACUUCAGAAGUAUACAUGCCUUCUCUCUAAUUAAAAGAGAGUUUCUUACCAACUAUUGAGCCUACCAGUUAUAUAGAUUUAUGACUCUAAAGCCACUACUCAACUUCAGGUGGUACUCUGCUGUAGAAUAAACCUCCAUAAUUCUCCAUCUAAGAUACUGAAGUUUAUUGAUGAUUCUUUAUUUCAGGAUAUGUGGAAAAGGUAUUUGCACUACAUUUCAAGGCAGAUAGUAGAUUACAUGGCUAAGCAGCCCACCUAUAUUACUAAUUGUUUAUUUUGUUAUUUAAAUUAAAAUGGUUUAUGUAUUCUGUCGAAGCAUUCACAUGCCUUAUUAAUUUCAGGAAAACCAAUUUAUUAUUUAAUGGUUCAUGUAUUGUUAUGUCUAAAAUGAAAAUUCCAAACAAAAUCAUAGUCAUAUGUUGUAUUUAUAUGAUGAAUAUAGAUGUUCCAAUCGCUAUAUUUAAACUAAAAUUUUCAGAAUAAAUUGUGGUCUCUAAGCUUGUGUCA